UUUUCUAAUUUAUUAGGGACU
rnacentral:miRNA from 1 species